GUGCCCACUUCAGCAGCACAUAUACUAAAAUUGGAAUGAUACAGAGAAAAUUAGCAUGGUCUCUGCAUAAGGAUGCCACGCAAAUUUGUGAAGUGUUCUAUAUUAAA
ensembl:snRNA U6 U6 spliceosomal RNA